AGGAUGAACGCUGGCGGCGUGCCUAAUACAUGCAAGUCGAGCGAACAGACGAGGAGCUUGCUCCUCUGACGUUAGCGGCGGACGGGUGAGUAACACGUGGAUAACCUACCUAUAAGACUGGGAUAACUUCGGGAAACCGGAGCUAAUACCGGAUAAUAUAUUGAACCGCAUGGUUCAAUAGUGAAAGACGGUUUUGCUGUCACUUAUAGAUGGAUCCGCGCCGCAUUAGCUAGUUGGUAAGGUAACGGCUUACCAAGGCGACGAUGCGUAGCCGACCUGAGAGGGUGAUCGGCCACACUGGAACUGAGACACGGUCCAGACUCCUACGGGAGGCAGCAGUAGGGAAUCUUCCGCAAUGGGCGUAAGCCUGACGGAGCAACGCCGCGUGAGUGAUGAAGGUCUUCGGAUCGUAAAACUCUGUUAUUAGGGAAGAACAAAUGUGUAAGUAACUAUGCACGUCUUGACGGUACCUAAUCAGAAAGCCACGGCUAACUACGUGCCAGCAGCCGCGGUAAUACGUAGGUGGCAAGCGUUAUCCGGAAUUAUUGGGCGUAAAGCGCGCGUAGGCGGUUUUUUAAGUCUGAUGUGAAAGCCCACGGCUCAACCGUGGAGGGUCAUUGGAAACUGGAAAACUUGAGUGCAGAAGAGGAAAGUGGAAUUCCAUGUGUAGCGGUGAAAUGCGCAGAGAUAUGGAGGAACACCAGUGGCGAAGGCGACUUUCUGGUCUGUAACUGACGCUGAUGUGCGAAAGCGUGGGGAUCAAAC
rnacentral:rRNA from 1 species